ensembl:lncRNA
UUACUUUCAAAGCUUUAAUCUUAAAAUGUAAGGCAGUAUAGCUGAAAUAAUACGCAUUUAUUAAUGAAAUGAUGUAUUUAGAAAUGAUCAAAAAGAGCAACUCAUGUCAAAACAAUCGUUAAGCUUUCAACCAUUCUGAAAUUUCAACAUAUUGCCCAAACAAGGGAUGAACAGAAUCAUCAACAUCUUGAAAGUUUGAUGGGAAAGGAAGAGAAAACAUUCUAAACUGCAUGAAACAAUGAAGUUAAUUUACAUGCAAUACGACAGAAUUCUGUAGAAGGAAACCUUGUCUAUAUAAAAGCAGCCUUGAAACUUACUCGUUCUCUUAAAUCCAAACAGCAUUUGAAUUAACUGGAUAUUUUAAAGUAUAUGGUGCAUAAAUAUUAUUUCCCUUACCAAACAUUUCUGAUUACAGGGUAGCUGCACUUUCCAGAGCAAUGGAUGCACAACUCUUAUACAAUUUAAUAUUUUUUAUGCCUUCAUGAGACAAAGCAGUUAUUCCAAGGCUAGAUUUGUAGCUAGCAUUAAUAGGUAGAGGGGUGUGUUUUCCUGAUCCAGGAGCCCUGGUAUCCCUCAUUUGGUAAGUGGCAAAGUUGAACUUUCUGCUUUCCCUUUGACAGCAGAUUCUUGUGUUUCCAGCAGCAGUGACAUCUGGGUUUAAUGCAAGGACUCUCUUCUCAGCAUGCACUGCAGUAGGAGCUGCCAUGCUCCCAGGGGAAGGGAAAGGCUGUGCCUGCAGAGAGCCUGGAGUUUCUCCUUCUCAUUUUCUGGCUGGAUGCUGUUAGGCAAAAGGCACUGUAAACUUUCAUGUAACCUACGUACUGCUGUUCAGUACUUUGGAAAGGAUGGAGAGUUUACAUUCAUCCACCCUCUCUCCCAUGCAGCGAAUGGUUGUGGCAAGCAUCUCUGUGGUAAGUGUUGGUCACAAUACAGGGUGUUAAAAACAUUCCCUUACUGUCACACAGUCUGUGCAGCCUUUCCUCAUUGUACAGGAAUGCCAGAGACUAUUUGCUGAAGCCUCAGUCUAAAACACAGCGUCUAGGAUUCCUUCUUAAAUGAACUGUAGGUGGUUUUCCACAGCUUUAUUAAUAGCUGCUAGUUGGUGCGGAGGACAUGCAGGCACUUUGCUUAAUGACAGAGCAGCUCACUAAUCUGCAGCCUGGUCCUCUGCACCUGUAUUAUACCUCUCCUCUUGCAAAGACCUGCUGGUAAGCAAAGGGUUACUGUGCAGAAAGUGCAUCCAAGCCCCUCUCUUUAUGCAGGUAGAAUACUACUUCCUACACUGAAGGGCUUUUCAAGAUGAACAUUGGGUUAAAGGCUAUAUUAUACAAACUCUUUUUUGUAACUCUAACCUUCCUCUCACAUCUAGGAUGAAAAUACAGAACAAUCUAUGUUGGGAGUGGGGAGGGCUUACAGAAGAAAUCUGGUUCAACAUCCAGCUCAGGGCAGGACCAGCUUCAGGUCAGGUUGCUCAGAGCCUUAUCCAGUUGAGGAUUUGAAAAGAAAUCAAAGGCUCUUGAAAUAAGUUAUGCCCCCGAGUCUAGAAAUAGCUAAAAAUAAAUUAAGGAUGGGAUAUUAGUUUUCUGGUGAG